rnacentral:rRNA from 1 species
AUCUCAGAUCAAGCAAGAUGACCCGCCGAAUUUAAGCAUAUAAUUAAGCGGAGGAAAAGAAACUAACUAGGAUUCCCUCA